rnacentral:lncRNA from 1 species
GCCGCGCUGCGCCGGGAGGGCCGGGCCGGGCCGGGCGGGCGGCGCGGGGCUGGGAUGGGGCUGGAGCUGGGAUGGGGUGGGGGCACGCCGGGCCCCGCCGCCUCCCGCAUCCCCCGUGUACUGGCAGCAAGAGGAGGGAAAAAAGAGAAAAAAAAAACCAGUAGCAAAUAAUUUUUUUUUCUUAAGUUCACGGGGAGGAAUUAAAAAAAAAAAAAAAAAAGAUGAUGAUCUCAGUGUUACGGAAGAAAAAUCUAUUGAACUUCCGAUCGGACGGAUUUCAGCUGCAAACGCGGAGCCCUUCACGUGCAUUAGCUUCUCCGGGGGUCACAGUCUAUUUCAGAGAGCCAGAACCCAGACUCCGCACACGAGGCUCGGCGCUGAGCUCGCCCUUCCCGGCACUUCCAAAGCCAGGUACCAAUUAUUUCCCAGUCCCACCGUCAGACGACCAACCCCGCUCAGCGUCCCGCCCGCUCGGCACCGCGCCCGCCCCGAGCCCCGUCGCUGCCCCUUCCGCCGCCCGUCCGCACCGCAGCUCCCGAGCACGGCGGCAGCGGCUGAGUUGCGGGGGGCCCCGCACACGGACAGCGCGGCGGCGGCCAGCGGGGAUUCCCGGCUAAGUUCGCCGACUUGGCUCGGCCCCGAGCAGGGGGGGGGUUCGCCGGGGACUGCGGGGCGCGCCGAGCGCCGGGGCCGGGCCCCCACCUGCCCGCUGCAGGCGCGGAGCGGAGCGGGGGGCAGCGCCGGCACCGCCGGCUGCGGGGAGCGCCCGGUGCCCCCCGGAUGCGCGGGGGCCGCCGCGGCUUCGCCCGGUGCGGAACAAAGGAGGAGCGGUUCGCAUCAGCGCUGCCGGGACGGACGCGCCUCUGCCAAGUUUGUUUAAGAACACGGCUGCCCGCGCCCGACAACGAUCCCCGGCUUUUGUGCAAUACAAAGCGUUGUCAAUAACUAUUACAGCGGCGGCAAUUAUCUGAGGAGAGAACAAAGGCGUUUUGUAAUAUCUACAUAACUUUAUUAGAGCAAAAUUAUUUUUAAAUGCCUACGAAUUCCCAAACCUCCUGAGUACAAAUGAAUAAAAGUUUUUCUCCGGGCUAAAAUCUUUGCUUG